GACGAACCGUGCGAACGUUGUUCGGAAUCACUGGGCUUAAAGGGUGCGUAGGCGGGUUGUCCAGCCUGGGGUGAAAUCCCACGGCUCAACCGUGGAAUUGCCUCAGAUACUGACGACCUCGAGGGAGGUAGGGGCGAGCGGAACUGUGGGUGGAGCGGUGAAAUGCGUUGAUAUCCACAGGAACUCCGGUGGCGAAGGGGGCUCGCUGGACCUCUUCUGACGGUGAGGCACGAAAGCUAGGGGAGCAAACGGG
rnacentral:rRNA from 1 species